AGACGUGAGGACAAUCUGGCUGUAAUAUCUGUCACCCCAUUGAUCGCCAGGGUUGAUUCGGCUGAUCUGGCUGGCUAGGCAGGUGUCCCCUUCAUCCCUCACUACCCUGUGUGCAUCCCUUCCAAAGCUGUGAGCUCAGUGAAAGAGGACGGCCAUCCCAGAUAGAAGGCAUGUACCAUUCUUUGGUCAAAGGUAUACAAUAACUGCGCUCCCCUGCUAGAACCUCCAAACAAACUCUAGGUCCAUUUGUAGGAGACAGGCAUUCAAGUAAGGUGCAUAUGAAGUCAGACAUGACUCAUCAGACAUGAAAGUAAGUGAAGCUGUGAUG
rnacentral:snRNA from 1 species